rnacentral:rRNA from 1 species
UACGUAGGGUGCGAGCGUUAAUCGGAUUUACUGGGCGUAAAGCGUGCGCAGGCGGCCCGUUAAGACAGGUGUGAAAUCCCUGGGCUCAACCUAGGAAUUGCGCUUGUGACUGGCGGGCUGGAGUACGGUAGGGGGGGGUGGAAUUCCUGGUGUAGCAGUGAAAUGCGUAGAGAUCAGGAGGAACACCGAUGGCGAAGGCAGCUCCCUGGGCCUGUACUGACGCUCAUGCACGAAAGCGUGGGGAGCAAACAGG